AUACGGAGGGUCCAAGCGUUAUGCGGAUUCAUUGGGUUUAAAGGGUCCGCAGGCGGGAAAAUAAGUCAGUGGUGAAAGCCUACAGCUCAACUGUAGAACUGCCAUUGAAACUGUUUUUCUUGAGUAUAGAUGAAGUGGGCGGAAUAUAUCAUGUAGCGGUGAAAUGCAUAGAUAUGAUAUAGAACACCGAUUGCGAAGGCAGCUCACUAAACUAUUACUGACGCUCAGGGACGAAAGCGUGGGGAGCGAACAGGAUUAGAAACCCCAGUAGUCC
rnacentral:rRNA from 1 species